UAUAUAUAUAUAUUAAUGUCCUUCUCCUGCAGUGUGAUGUCUUGGUAUACAGCUUUGCCCUCAAAUGUCUCUGAAGAUUAGUGAGGGCUUUCACAAGAGUUUAGGGUACAGAAAGGAAGCUUCUCUGCAGAUGCACCAGAUGUACCGAUAGCUAUAUAAUUGGCAACAUAUUCAUCCUUCUGGCUAUCCUUCUACUAUUUUGGCUCAAAGCAAGACCCAGAGGAAACCACUCCAGUGUAAAACCACUGAUCUAAAACAAAUGAUGCCAGCUUCACAUCAGAUCUGAAUUGGGCUACUAAGUCUCAGAUCCUCAGAGGUAAUUAGUUGACCGACUCUCACUGGGUGGUAGGCACCUAUAUAUAAACUAAUUGACAUCUUUUUCCAUGCUUGUCACAGAUCAGUCCCACAACAACCUUUCACAUGGAUUAUAACAACAUUUUAUUUAAAAAUGUCACUCAAGUAUUGCCAGUGUUCAGAAAUGAUGCUAUAUUUCAUUCUGUAUAAGUGCUUUCCAAGCAUUAGUGUGUAACCUGCCAUUCCAAAUAUAAAAUCAGUUUAUCCACUGUAGAAAGAUAGCUAUUGAUACCUCAGUUGUUAGAAUAUUAUCUCAUGUUUUGAAAUUAUUUUCAGCAUAGCUUUAGACUGUAGUCAUACAAAAGAUUAGCCUUAUUUUGUAGACUUUGUUGGAUAAAGAGCAGAAACUUUAAAGUGUUUUUGUUGGACACAUGCAAAUGCAGAUAUAUAAAGUUACUGUAGCAUUGUUCCCUUUGUCAUUAUCACUGAAUUAUUCAAAAACAUUGUCCACUACUCUUAGAAGAUCUCUUUCACUGUUAAUAAUUAAGAAGGUGCCUCAACUUUAAUUAAUUAAUGACCAUUUCUCAUGAAGGCUUGAUUCAGUAAUGAGUACCACUCAGAAGUUUUUGAAACAUUUUUGGAUUGAGCCCUUAAACAUAUAAUAAUAUUUGAAGCUGCUUUUUCAAUAUAAAUACUUCCCAAGAUGGCUGUUCUAAUGUCACUUGUACUCACGCCUUCUAUGGUUAUGCAUAGAUUUAUUUAAGUAAAUGGAGCUGUGGCAGUUCAACCUUGCUAAAGGCUGGAUAUUCAUCCCUUCCAGCUCUAUUCAUAAGUUACACUACCAAGCUCCUACUGGGAUAAUCUUGUAACCUGAUUUAGACUAGCACAGUUAAAUAUUUGUCUCUUGGAGUACAAACUAUGCAAGAGGCAUGCUAACUGCAGCAAUAUGAAUGGGCAAAAAAAAAAUUGUCUCUAUAUUUUCAGUCAAAAUUAUGCUAAAGACCCAUAUUCACAUAUGAAUCUAGCUAAUACAUUGAGACACUUAACAUGAACUAAGUUGUCUUUUGUGAAUUAAUAGUUGUUAAACGAUUAAAAAAAACAGUCUUUCCUUAGAUUUGGUGGCAGGGAUUCUUCUUUUCAUUUUUUUUUUUUAAAUGACUGGGGGUUUUUUGUUGUUGUUUUGUGUGUGUGUGGGUGUUGGGUUUUUUUUUUUUAGGUUUAGUUUCUAUAAAUACCUGGUCUAGUUGAUGAGCCUGUACCUGACUCUUCUCCUUUGUCUUUCAAGAGGACAAGUUCUGCAUUUGGUUACAGUGAGUCCAGUUCUGUUGCCUUAAUUUUCAGUGCUGCAAUCAAGAGCAGAAUUUGGCCUUUGCUUCUUGCACUCUGAUAUAUCCUUUGUUCCUAGCUUGCCUUGGAGCCUUUCAACAGCAUCCCUGGCAGUUGAAGAAACCAUGAACAGAAUGAACCAGAUGUACUUUCAUAGGAAAGUGCAGCAGCAUGAACACACAGGCUGGUGACUUGUAAUUCUGCUCUGCCUGUGGGUAUCCUUGAGAGCACUGUAUUUACUAGGAAGUAGUAUGGAACUCUGUGGAAAGAGUAUAACUGCAAAAUUAGUGUGACUGGUGGCCAGUACACAUUUUAUAAUUCAAACAGGCUAUGAAUAAAAAAGUUCUCAUCAUUUAUCAUUAAUUUUUAUAUAUAGACUAUCUUAAGGGUUGUAAAUUAAGAAGUUUUUUGGUUUUGUUUUUUUUUAAUGGACCAUAUUCUGAGACCCUCAAAAUAGGAAAAGGCUGUAAACUCAGAUUUAAAUUGAGGAAAAUGCCCAUUGUUUUAAGUAGCCUAUGCUUCUAUACUACAUUGUAAAGCUCAUGGUACAAGUUUUAAAUCUACGUAGCAUCAAUAUUUUACAAAUGGUAUAAAUAUAAACUUAAAACAGUUUAUAUUUGCGUGACUGUUGUGCCUUACAUGAAAUACAUGAAAGCAUUCUUAAUGACAAAUUUGAUAUAGAAACUCACCCUUUUUACUUUACGCAUUUCACAGCAUGUUGCAUUUCUAGCUCUAGUCUUUACCUAGCAUAAUACUCUGUUGUAUAGGAAUCCUAUCCAGCAAAAAGGGAAAAAAUAAUAGCGAUCAGAAGAAGUUAGCAGAUGCUCUCAAGUGGCACCUAAACUACUUUUAAAAUUAUUUGUUUAAAGAUUUGCUGGUUUUCAACUUGACUUUAAAGCCUAAGGUCUUUUUGUUUUGUUUUGUUGCUGAGGUUGACAAGAAACAAAUAUAAUAAACAAACCUUAAUAAGGUCAAUUGUUUUGGAAACGAGUCAAGUCUGGACUGCUUGUUGUCCUGACAACCUUCUGAUAAAUGUGCUGAUGUGCUAAUAAAUACUGAAGCUAACAUUUAAGUUAACUCCAUAAAGAUUUUCAAUUCAGUCAAAUGGUACCUUAUAUUCUUUCAGUUAUUUUUUUUAUGUCUCUCUCAUUUUGGCUUGUUCUACAGCAUGAACAACAUGGGUUUUCUAUACUCAGAAGCAAAAGUACAAAUGAGAGUGGUAAAAUCAAUGAUUUUAUAUUCCCACUUCAUCCCCGUGGCUAUGAUGAUGCAGCUGCUGGACGAUUUCUCAUUUCCAUCAGCAUUUUUAAAAAUGCCCAUAAGAUUGUUUACUGCAAGUAUGACCUAAAAAAACAAGCUGAAUAUGUGCCGUCUGUCCGAAUUGAGCUGUAUGUUCUCCAUGUGGUUGGGAUUUUUCUCAGUUUUAAUUUUGGGUGCCAGUAUACGCUGUACAUAAGGGCUAGAUUCUCAGCUGUUAUGCAUUAAAAUAAAUGCACGCUUUUACCACACCUGUACAUGGAUGUCAUCGUUGUUUCUGCCAUUUGAUGCUAUUUAAUUAUAGUUAAAAUCUAUUACUCAACAUAGAUAGUCAUUUGAACUUGUCAACAAUGGUAUAUUAUUCUAACCAUUUGCAUAUAAUGAAUUUGCUUCCUGGAUCAAAAGAACUGAUCUGUGGAGGAAAGUAGGAGCAUUCCAAGCCCAUCCCCUUUCUUGUGGCCACUGAUAGCACAAGAAGAAAGGGAAGGAGGGGCAGCCGGACACUGCCCAUGGAUGGCAUUGUUCAUUUUGCAUUCCAGGGUUUUGGACAUCUGUGUACAUUAUGCUCAGAUACCAAAGUAGUAAGUGUGGUAGAGGAGCCCAAAUAAGGGGUGUGUUGCACAGGACACUUAGCACAUGUUUUCUUUAGAUUAUAGUAUGCAUUACUGUGCUGUAUUCAAAGUUAGAAUGUGUUUUGAGCAGUUGCAUGCUAAUGCUUACUACAAUCUCUAAGUGUAACAUGAGACAUGGUGCAGGACUGCACCAGAGCCAGUUCAAAACUCCAGUGCAGUGCAGAGCCUGGAACUGACAAUCAGCUGACUGUCCAGCACCACACUGGAGUCUACCAUCAAUGCCAGUUGGCAGUUUUGACACUGCUCCAGAGCCAAUUGUCAAUCCCAACCCUAGUACUACACUAAAGCCAGUUCAAGACUCCAGUCCAGUGUGGAGGUUGGGACCAACAAUCAGCUGAUUUUUCAGUCUCAGCUGUAGUGCCACACCAGAGCCAAUUAUUGAUCCCAACCCCAGGACCGCAGAGAGUGGUUCAAGACUCCAUUGCAGUACCCAAGCUGGGACUGACAACCAGCAAACUGUGCUGGCAUUAUAUCCGUGGAGCUGUUAGAUUAUAAUUGAACAUGUGUUACUGAAUACAGUCUGGAGAUACUCUUCCCCUGAAAAGUCCUCACUUUGUUACAGUGUGAUCACACUUAGCACAAUACAAUCAUACUCUGCAUAUAUGUUAUUGCUUGAACAUGCAGACGCUUGCGUUUUACUGUAGUUAACAUGUAUAAGUAUAAUGUAUGACAAAAGGACAUAAGAGUGACUGGUGAUUUUAAUAACAGAAAUGCAUUUCUUUUCUAGCAUAAAGUUAAAACUUUGUUGAAGAGAUGGAAAAGAGCACACAGAAAACAAGCUCCAUUUGUGAUAGAAUGGGGAAAAUAUGUAUAAUGAUUCAUAUUUCACAGAGUAACUUACUUUUAGAUUGGAUAAUCAGAAACUUGCUUACCAGAAGGCAAAGUGACAUGCUAGCUAUAUGACCUGAACAUUUAUCAUUUUCGUAUGAGGACUCUGGCAAACGAUUAAA